rnacentral:rRNA from 1 species
UACGGGAGGCAGCAGGUGGGGAAUAUUGCACAAUGGGCGCAAGCCUGAUGCAGCCAUGCCGCGUGUAUGAAGAAGGCCUUCGGGUUGUAAAGUACUUUCAGUCGUGAGGAAGGUGUUAAGGUUAAUAAUCUUAGCAAUUGACGUUAGCGACAGAAGAAGCACCGGCUAACUCCGUGCCAGCAGCCGCGGUAAUACGGAGGGUGCGAGCGUUAAUCGGAAUUACUGGGCGUAAAGGGCACGCAGGCGGUUAAUUAAGUUGGAUGUGAAAUCCCUGGGCUUAACCUAGGAACUGCAUUUUGAAACUGAAUACUAGAGUAUCGUAGAGGGAGGUAGAAUUCUAGGUGUAGCGGUGAAAUGCGUAGAUAUCUGGAGGAAUACCUGUGGCGAAAGCGGGCCUCUAAACCGAAUACUGACACUGAGGUGCGAAAGCGUGGGGAGCAAACAGGAUUAGAUACC